rnacentral:rRNA from 1 species
AUUGAACGCUGGCGGCAGGCUUAACACAUGCAAGUCGAGCGGGGUGAUGGUGCUUGCACUAUCACUUAGCGGCGGACGGGUGAGUAAUGCUUAGGAAUCUGCCUAUUAGUGGGGGACAACAUCUCGAAAGGGAUGCUAAUACCGCAUACGUUCUACGGGAGAAAGCAGGGGAUCACUUGUGACCUUGCGCUAAUAGAUGAGCCUAAGUCGGAUUAGCUAGUUGGUGGGGUAAAGGCCUACCAAGGCGACGAUCUGUAGCGGGUCUGAGAGGGUGAUCCGCCACACUGGGACUGAGACACGGCCCAGACUCCUACGGGAGGCAGCAGUGGGGAAUAUUGGACAAUGGGGGGAACCCUGAUCCAGCUAUGCCGCGUGUGUGAAGAAGGCCUUAUGGUUGUAAAGCACUUUAAGCGAGGAGGAGGCUCUUUUGGUUAAUACCCAAGAUGAGUGGACGUUACUCGCAGAAUAAGCACCGGCUAACUCUGUGCCAGCCGCCGCAGUAA